UACGUAGGCAGCGAGCGUUGUUCGGAGUUACUGGGCGUAAAGGGUGUGUAGGCGGUUGUUUAAGUUUGGUGUGAAAUCUCCCGGCUCAACUGGGAGGGUGCGCCGAAUACUGAAUGGACUAGAGUGCGGGAGAGGAAAGUGGAAUUCCUGGUGUAGCGGUGAAAUGCGUAGAUAUCAGGAGGAACACCGGUGGUGUAGACGGCUUUCUGGACCGUAACUGACGCUGAGACACGAAAGCGUGGGUAGCAAACAGG
rnacentral:rRNA from 1 species